GGCAACCACGCCCCUACCCUGGUAGAGGACUGAAGAGACACUCUUGGAAAGGGUUUGGAACUGAGUAUUCUCUGGACUCAGGGACACCAGACAACUCUUGGGCCCGGACUGGGGGACAUCUCAGAAAUGAGGUUUCAGUGAAAGCCUGCACACCAACAAUGAGAAUCCUAGACCCUUCUCCAGUUGGCUCCCAGGAUACUGGUAGAGAAGUUUAUAUUUUGCAGGCAGAAGAUGGGAGGUUUUCUCUCCAAGGGAAAUGAUGAGCCCAAGAAGAAAAAGACACUUGAGGGAAGCUGCGACAUGAAAGUAAGAGAGGCACCAAACAACUUGAAAGGAAAUUUGCCACAAAGACAUAAUGAAUACAGAGAGGGGGGAAAAUACUUCCGAAAUAGUCUUAGUGAGUUAAGAGAACAUUAAUCCUUAAAACAAGAACAGGAAACUAUAAAAAUAAUAUUCAGUAAGAAAAAUAUUUUAUACAUUAAAUUAUGAUGGCAGAAAAUUUGAAAACAUAUGAACGGAAGGUAUGAAAAUUAAGCUUAGUAAAUCUCUCAGAAAGUAGAAUAAGAAGGUAGAGAUGGCCAACAUUAAAGGACAUGAAAUUAGAAAAUCAACCCAGAGUGCUCAAUGUCUAAAUAUUAGGACUUCUGAAAGGACAGAGAAAAAAGGGGAAAUUUAAUAAAGGCACUUGGAUAUUGAUUUCUACCCUGAGAAAUAUCAUCAAGCAUCCAUCCCAUUAAAUUAAAAGAUGCCUUCACAUGUUUAUAUAAUUUUGACAUUAUUUUUGAAAUAUACACCAGGGGAAAAAAAAAAGAGUCCUAGAAAUGUCUGGGGAAAAAAUAAACAGCCCAUAUGCAAAGAGACCUGGAAUAGAAGUAGUAAUUGACUUUUCCAAAGCAACCGUGGAAGCUGGACGACAAUAAAAAAAUUCCUUCAGGGAUCUAUGGAAAAUUAUUUCUAACCUAGAAUUUUCAUUCAGCCAAAUUAUUAAUGGAGUGUGAGGGUAGCAUAAAAAUAUUUUCAGUUGGUACAAAUAUAUUCAUGGGAUCUUAGUAUGCUUCUAAAGGCUGUGCUUCACCAAAUAUGAAAUAAACCAAAAGAGAAGAAGACACAAGAUUCAGUGAACAACUGCACUCUCAAUUUCCUGGAGGAAGGCCCAAGGAGGACUCAGCAGGACCACUGCACAUCAGGCCCUGAGACCCGGUGGUCUGCACUGGGACAGAAUGACUUUCUGAGGGAAACAACUGAAGAGAUAGAUUUGCCGAUGUAUUGAGAAGAGUUUACACCUCGGGGUUUAGGAGUACACAAACUACCCCCUCUGGAAGCAUGUUACAAGAUGGGACUUUCCCGGCUUCAACUUCUUCUGCAAUGGUCUCCACAGACGCCACAGCCAAGUGAAGAAGAUCUUUGCAUGAACACGACCUUUCAGCUGGUGAAUCAGAUGACCAGAAAAAUUCCCCACAUCAGUUUUCUUUAUGGAGUGACCUACACACCGAGAAGAGCCGCUCAGCUCUCAAAACUGCUGUCAUGUAGAUACCUACGUGGAUAAACAAGUAAUGUUUCCACAAAACACCGCAGGUUAGGGCCUCUGCUCAUGGCAGGAUAGAGAAGGCAAAAUAAAGAGGGGGCUUUGGACUGUUGGUUUUGCGUCAUGUAAGCUUUUUUAGUGACCUUUAAUGGGGAGAGAGACUAGAUGCUGAGUUUAAUCACGUAAGACCAGCUCAAGACAAACGGCGCAGUUUUGUUUCCUGUCUGGAAAGAAAAAAAAAAAUUACUCAUGCACUAACAGGAACUGAACGCUGAACACUCCUUUGGUGCUAGAUUUAUUGGAGGAUUUGACGACAAGAAUUUGCUUGCAGUUUUCCACCUUCCCUGUGCUAUUUUCUUAGCCAGUCAUUUUGAAUACCCCUUCCCCAUCUUUAUCCCCCAACCAUUCCUGUUCUUAAGCCAAAUAAAAAGAAAACAUCACUGAAAU